GCAAUCGUAGCUUAAAUAAAGCAUAACACUGAAGAUGUUAGGAUGGACCAUCGUAAGGUCUCGAGGGCA
rnacentral:tRNA from 1 species